GCAUAAUAAUUUGCCUUUUAAUUGGAGGCUGGUAUGAAUGGGAAAACGAGAAUAAACCUGUCUCCAACACAGAUAUAAAAUCUUAUCUUCAGGUGAAGAAGCCUGAAUCACUAUAAAAGACAAGAAGACCCCGUCGAGCUUUAGUUUACUCUUAGGGCUAUAGUUAAUAUUUAUAUACUUCCCCCUAUGAGUAACUUUUGUUGGGGCGACAACGGACUAACUCAUCAUCCGACAAACCACAGACUUUUAAUCGCAUAAUAGAUCCUCUAUAGACUUUAAGAAUAAGCUACCGCAGGGAUAACAGACUAAUCUCCCCCCGGAGCCCAAAUCUACGGGGAGGC
rnacentral:rRNA from 1 species